rnacentral:tRNA from 1 species
CGGGGUGUAGCUCAGCCUGGUUAGAGUGCCGCGUUUGGGGCGCGGAAGUCGUCGGUUCGACUCCGACCACCCCGA